rnacentral:rRNA from 3 species
UGGGGGAUAUUGCACAAUGGGCGAAAGCCUGAUGCAGCGACGCCGCGUGGGGGAUGAAGGCCUUCGGGUUGUAAACUUCUUUUGCUCUGAACAAGGCAUGCCAAUGGGUGUGUUGAGUGUAGGGGUUGAUUAGCGCCGGCUAACUACGUGCCAGCAGCCGCGGUAAUACGUAGGGCGCGAGCGUUGUCCGGAAUUAUUGGGCGUAAAGGGCUUGUAGGUGGCUGGUUGCGUCUGUCGUGAAAGCUCAUGGCUUAACUGUGGGUUUGCGGUGGGUACGGGCUGGCUUGAGUGCAGUAGGGGAGGCUGGAAUUCCUGGUGUAGCGGUGGAAUGCGCAGAUAUCAGGAGGAAUACCGGUGGCGAAGGCGGGUCUCUGGGCUGUUACUGACACUGAGGAGCGAAAGCAUGGGGAGCGAACAGG